rnacentral:rRNA from 1 species
GGUUAAGUUAGAAAGGGCGCACGGUGGAUGCCUUGGCACUAGGAGCCGAUGAAGGACGGGACGAACACCGAUAUGCUUCGGGGAGCUGUAAGCAAGCUUUGAUCCGGAGAUUUCCGAAUGGGGAAACCCACCACUCGUAAUGGAGUGGUAUCCAUAUCUGAAUACAUAGGAUAUGAGAAGGCAGACCCGGGGAACUGAAACAUCUAAGUACCCGGAGGAAGAGAAAGCAAAUGCGAUUCCCUGAGUAGCGGCGAGCGAAACGGGAUCAGCCCAAACCAAGAGGCUUGCCUCUUGGGGUUGUAGGACACUCUGUACGGAGUUACAAAGGAACGAGGUAGAUGAAGAGGUCUGGAAAGGCCCGCCAUAGGAGGUAACAGCCCUGUAGUCAAAACUUCGUUCUCUCCUGAGUGGAUCCUGAGUACGGCGGAACACGUGAAAUUCCGUCGGAAUCCGGGAGGACCAUCUCCCAAGGCUAAAUACUCCCUAGUGACCGAUAGUGAACCAGUACCGUGAGGGAAAGGUGAAAAGCACCCCGGAAGGGGAGUGAAAGAGAUCCUGAAACCGUGUGCCUACAAGUAGUCAGAGCCCGUUAACGGGUGAUGGCGUGCCUUUUGUAGAAUGAACCGGCGAGUUACGAUCCCGUGCAAGGUUAAGCAGAAGAUGCGGAGCCGCAGCGAAAGCGAGUCUGAAUAGGGCGAAUUGAGUACGUGGUCGUAGACCCGAAACCAGGUGAUCUACCCAUGUCCAGGGUGAAGUUCAGGUAACACUGAAUGGAGGCUUCGAACCCACGCACGUUGAAAAGUGCGGGGAUGAGGUGUGGGUAGGGGUGAAAUGCCAAUCGAACCUGGAGAUAGCUGGUUCUCUCCGAAAUAGCUUUAGGGCUAGCCUCAAGGUAAGAGUCUCGGAGGUAGAGCACUGAUUGGACUAGGGGCCCCUACCGGGUUACCGAAUUCAGUCAAACUCCGAAUGCCGAUGACUUAUCCUUGGGAGUCAGACUGCGAGUGAUAAGAUCCGUAGUCGAAAGGGAAACAGCCCAGACCGCCAGCUAAGGUCCCAAAGUAUACGUUAAGUGGAAAAGGAUGUGGAGUUGCUUAGACAACCAGGAUGUUGGCUUAGAAGCAGCCACCAUUUAAAGAGUGCGUAAUAGCUCACUGGUCGAGUGACUCUGCGCCGAAAAUGUACCGGGGCUAAACGUAUCACCGAAGCUGCGGACUGUUCUUCGAACAGUGGUAGGAGAGCGUUCUAAGGGCUGUGAAGCAAGACCGGAAGGACUUGUGGAGCGCUUAGAAGUGAGAAUGCCGGUAUGAGUAGCGAAAGAGGGGUGAGAAUCCCCUCCACCGAAUGCCUAAGGUUUCCUGAGGAAGGCUCGUCCGCUCAGGGUUAGUCGGGGCCUAAGCCGAGGCCGAAAGGCGUAGGCGAUGGAUAACAGGUUGAUAUUCCUGUACCACCUCCUCACCAUUUGAGCAAUGGGGGGACGCAGGAGGAUAGGGUAAGCGCGGUAUUGGAUAUCCGCGUCCAAGCAGUUAGGCUGGGAAAUAGGCAAAUCCGUUUCCCGUGAAGGCUGAGCUGUGAUGGCGAGCGAAUUAUAGUAGCGAAGUUCCUGAUUCCACACUGCCAAGAAAAGCCUCUAGCGAGGUGAGAGGUGCCCGUACCGCAAACCGACACAGGUAGGCGAGGAGAGAAUCCUAAGGUGAUCGAGAGAACUCUCGUUAAGGAACUCGGCAAAAUGACCCCGUAACUUCGGGAGAAGGGGUGCUCUGUUAGGGUGCAAGCCCGAGAGAGCCGCAGUGAAUAGGCUCCAGGCGACUGUUUAGCAAAAACACAGGUCUCUGCGAAGCCGUAAGGCGAAGUAUAGGGGCUGACGCCUGCCCGGUGCUGGAAGGUUAAGAGGAGCGCUUAGCGUAAGCGAAGGUGCGAAUUGAAGCCCCAGUAAACGGCGGCCGUAACUAUAACGGUCCUAAGGUAGCGAAAUUCCUUGUCGGGUAAGUUCCGACCCGCACGAAAGGCGCAACGAUCUGGGCACUGUCUCAACGAGAGACUCGGUGAAAUUAUAGUACCUGUGAAGAUGCAGGUUACCCGCGACAGGACGGAAAGACCCCGUGGAGCUUUACUGCAGCCUGAUAUUGAAUGUUGGUACAGCUUGUACAGGAUAGGUAGGAGCCUUGGAAACCGGAGCGCCAGCUUCGGUGGAGGCAUCGGUGGGAUACUACCCUGGCUGUAUUGACCUUCUAACCCGCCGCCCUUAUCGGGCGGGGAGACAGUGUCAGGUGGGCAGUUUGACUGGGGCGGUCGCCUCCUAAAAGGUAACGGAGGCGCCCAAAGGUUCCCUCAGAAUGGUUGGAAAUCAUUCGCAGAGUGUAAAGGCACAAGGGAGCUUGACUGCGAGACCUACAAGUCGAGCAGGGACGAAAGUCGGGCUUAGUGAUCCGGUGGUUCCGCAUGGAAGAGCCAUCGCUCAACGGAUAAAAGCUACCCCGGGGAUAACAGGCUUAUCUCCCCCAAGAGUCCACAUCGACGGGGAGGUUUGGCACCUCGAUGUCGGCUCAUCGCAUCCUGGGGCUGUAGUCGGUCCCAAGGGUUGGGCUGUUCGCCCAUUAAAGCGGUACGCGAGCUGGGUUCAGAACGUCGUGAGACAGUUCGGUCCCUAUCCGUCGCGGGCGCAGGAAAUUUGAGAGGAGCUGUCCUUAGUACGAGAGGACCGGGAUGGACGCACCGCUGGUGUACCAGUUGUUCUGCCAAGGGCAUCGCUGGGUAGCUAUGUGCGGACGGGAUAAGUGCUGAAAGCAUCUAAGCAUGAAGCCCCCCUCAAGAUGAGAUUUCCCAUUCCGCAAGGAAGUAAGAUCCCUGAAAGAUGAUCAGGUUGAUAGGUCUGAGGUGGAAGUGUGGCGACACAUGGAGCUGACAGAUACUAAUCGAUCGAGGACUUAACCAA